UUGAUCUUGUAAUGUACAUUUUCGGGGCUUUUGUUUGUUUUAAUUCCUGAUACUGGGGAUUGAACCCAAGAACCUUCUACCUUUGAGGCAUAUCUCUAGUCCUUUUUAUAUUUAUUUAUUUGUUUGUUUUUGGCACUGGAGAUCAAACCCAGAGGCACUUAACCACUGAGCCACAUCCCCAGCCCUUUUUUGUAUUCUAUUUAGAGACAGAGUCUCACUGAGUUGCUAAGUGUCUCACUAAGUUGCUGGGGCUGGCUUUGAACUCAUGAUCCUCUUGCCUCAACCACCUGAGUAGCUAGGAUUAUAGGUGUACACCACUGUGUCAGGCCUCCAACCCUUUUUAUUUCUAAGACAGGGUCUCACUAAGUUUUUGAGGGUCUUGCCAAAUGGUCCAGGUUGCCCUUGAAUUUUCAACCACCCUGCCUCAGCAUCCUGAAUCUCUGAGAUCUCAGGUAUGUGCCACUGUACCUGGCCUGUAACGUACAUUUUCAGACUCCAAGAGCAAACUAUGGCAAACAUGCUAGUGUCAGCUUAUGGAACACUCCACCAGGUUAAGGUUGCUGAGAGCCACAGGCAAGUCAGAAUGGCCCCUGGCAUUUUGCCAGAAGUAAUGGUUGAGAGGCGAGCCAUUAAGAUGAUGAUAUUGGGGCUGUGGAUAUAGCUCAAUUGGUAGAGUGCUUACCUCCCAUGCACAAGGCCCUGGGUUCAAUCCCCAGCACCACAAAAACAAACAAACAAAAAAGAUGAUGAUAUUAAGUUAAGCUGUUUAUAAUCGCUGUGACUGGAUGAUGCUGGAUUGAAACAGGCUGUGUAUUCAAUUGUAUAUUAGACCUUUACUGUCCGGUAAUAAGGUGGCUCGCGGGGUUGCGAGAGCGUGCGCAGCCCACUACUUUGGAGUUCCUGUUGAGUUCUCGCGGGAUUCCGAGAGCGCGCAGCCCAGUGGUGUUCUGGGAGAGUUCCCGGGAGAGUUCCCGGGGGAGUUCCUGUUGGUGUGUGGUGUUCCUGGGAGCCGCGCGUGUGGCGUUCGGGAGAGUUCCUGGGGAGUGUGCUUGGAGUGCUGUUGGAGUUCAGGCAAUAAAGUUUCCUAUUUGAACAUACAAGUACUUUGUGGCGGCUCAGUGAUUUGUGCCCAGCCAGACUGCGGCAAAGGUGACUGUCCCUACCCUUAAGGAACCCAGUUAACCGGAAAAGACAAACAAGGACCUGAACAUCUAUGCUGCCUUGCUGCAUAACCAUCCAAAUAAACCAGGUUUCAGGGAAGGCUUAGCGGAAGAGCUGACACUGUUAUAUUUUAAAGGAGUAAUAGAAGUUGGGUAUGUGAAAUAAUGGAAUGAGGGAGAAGAAGGAUUCUAGGUAGAAUAAACAGCCCAUGCCAGGCACAGGCUGAUGUGAUCAGGGAACAGAAGAAUUAGGCAUGGCUGGAGCAAAAGGCAGAUGGGGGACAGGGACAGGAAAUGGAUCUAAUACAGGGGAAGGCAGAGCCUAAUAAAUCCUUACUGUUUGAAGACACUAAGUUUUGGAGAGGUUCGUACACAGCAAGAGGUCGCUGCAACCUCCUCCCAAUACAGUGAAGGUUGAUGUGCGGUGCCAGGCACUGCUGGGCACAUGUGUGGAGUCAGUAGAUAUUUGCUGAAUAUGGUUUUUUUGUUGUUUUUGUUUUUUUGGUUUGUGCUGGGAAUGAAAUCCAGGGCCUCACACAUGCUAGGCAAGUGCUCUGUCACUAAGCUACACUCCCGGCUCUGAAUGUGUGAAUUCAG
rnacentral:lncRNA from 1 species